rnacentral:rRNA from 1 species
UCAACUUUAUUAGAAGAGACGCAUUUAUUAGAUAAAAAGCCAGUUCAUGCUUUUACAGUAUGAAAAUUGGUGAUUUAUAAUAACUUAGCAAAUCGCAAAGUGAAAACAGGCGAUAAAUCAUUCAAGUUUCUGACCUAUCAGCUUUCGACGGUAUGGUAUUGGCUUACCGUGGCAGUGACGGUUAACGGGGGAUUAGGGUUCGAUUCCGGAGAGGGAGCCUGAGAAACGGCUACCACAUCUAAGGAAGGCAGCAGGCGCGCAAAUUACCCAAUUCUAACAGUUUGAGAGAGGUAGUAACAAGAAAUAACAAUACAAGGCAGUUAAAAUGCUUUGUAAUUGGAAUGAUAGAAAUUUAAACCCUUUUUAAAGUAUCAAUUGGAGGGCAAGUCUGGUGCCAGCAGCCGCGGUAAUUCCAGCUCCAAUAGCGUAUAUUAAAAUUGUUGCAGUUAAAAAGCUCGUAGUUGAAGUUCUGCUGAAAGUAACCGGUCUGCUUUUAAUAAAAGUGGUAUCUUGGUAUGUAUUUAGCAAUGAUGUCCUUUGAAGUGUUUUUUACUUUAUUGUAAUAAAGCAUAUUCAGGACUUUUACUUGAGAAAAUUAG